ACGCUCGACACCUACGGGAGGCAGCAGUAGGGAAUUUUCGUCAAUGGGGGGAACCCUGAACGAGCAAUGCCGCGUGAGUGAAGAAGGUCUUCGGAUCGUAAAGCUCUGUUGUAAGAGAAAAACGGACUCCAUAGGGAAUGAUGGAGGAGUGAUGGUAUCUUACCAGAAAGCCACGGCUAACUACGUGCCUGCAGCCGCGGUAAUCUGAGCGGGCUGGCAAGGC
rnacentral:rRNA from 1 species